rnacentral:rRNA from 1 species
GAAGAUUAGUGGUCUGCUUGCAGAAACUUGCAUACAGGUGCUGCACGGCUGUCGUCAGCUCGUGUCGUGAGAUUUUGGGAAAGUCCCGCAACGAGCGCACCCUCGUCCUUAGUUGCUAACAGUUCGGCUGAGAACUCUAAGGAGACUGCCUACGCAAGUAGGAGGAAGGUGAGGAUGACGUCAAGUCAUCAUGGCCCUUACGUCCAGGGCUACACACGUGCUACAAUGGGGUAUACAAAGAGCAGCAAUACGGUGACGUGGAGCAAAUCUCAAAAAUGCCUCCCAGUUCGGAUUGUAGUCUGCAACUCGACUACAUGAAGUUGGAAUCGCUAGUAAUCGUAGAUCAGCUAUGCUACGGUGAAUACGA